rnacentral:misc_RNA from 1 species
GAUGAAGAACGCAGCGAAAUGCGAUAAGUAAUGUGAAUUGCAGAAUUCAGUGAAUCAUCGAAUCUUUGAACGCACAUUGCGCCCUGUGGUAUUCCGCAGGGCAUGCCUGUUCGAGCGUCAUUUCAACCCUCAAGCCCCGCUUGGUGUUGGGCCCCGCCCGCUGUGGCCGGCCCUAAAGACAGUGGCGGCGCCGCCUGGCCCUCAGCGUAGUACAUCUCUCGCUCCAGGGUCCGGUGGCCGCCUGCCAGAACCCCCCAACUCUGUGGUUGACCUCGGAUCAGGUAGGGAUACCCGCUGAACUUAAGCAUAUCAAUAAGCGGAGGA